rnacentral:rRNA from 1 species
UACGGAGGGUGCAAGCGUUAUCCGGAUUCACUGGGUUUAAAGGGUGCGUAGGUGGGUUGGUAAGUCAGUGGUGAAAUCCCCGAGCUUAACUUGGGAACUGCCAUUGAUACUAUCAGUCUUGAAUAUUGUGGAGGUUAGCGGAAUAUGUCAUGUAGCGGUGAAAUGCUUAGAUAUGACAUAGAACACCAAUUGCGAAGGCAGCUGGCUACGCAUAUAUUGACACUGAGGCACGAAAGCGUGGGGAGCGAACGGG